rnacentral:rRNA from 1 species
GGGUUGUGAGGUUAAGCGACUAAGCGUACACGGUGGAUGCCCUGGCAGUCAGAGGCGAUGAAGGACGUGCUAAUCUGCGAAAAGCGUCGGUAAGGUGAUAUGAACCGUUAUAGCCGGCGAUGUCCGAAUGGGGAAACCCAGUGCAAUUCGUUGCACUAUCGUUAACUGAAUACAUAGGUUAACGAGGCGAACCGGGGGAACUGAAACAUCUAAGUACCCCGAGGAAAAGAAAUCAACCGAGAUUCCCCCAGUAGCGGCGAGCGAACGGGGAGCAGCCCAGAGUCUGAAUCAGCUUGUGUGUUAGUGGAACGGUCUGGAAAGUCCGACGGUACAGGGUGAUAGUCCCGUACACCAAAAUGCACAGGCUGUGAACUCGAAGAGUAGGGCGGGACACGUGGUAUCCUGUCUGAAUAUGGGGGGACCAUCCUCCAAGGCUAAAUACUCCUGACUGACCGAUAGUGAACCAGUACCGUGAGGGAAAGGCGAAAAGAACCCCGGCGAGGGGAGUGAAAAAGAACCUGAAACCGUGUACGUACAAGCAGUGGGAGCACCUUCGGGUGUGACUGCGUACCUUUUGUAUAAUGGGUCAGCGACUUAUAUUCUGUAGCAAGGUUAACCGUAUAGGGGAGCCGCAGGGAAACCGAGUCUUAACUGGGCGUUAAGUUGCAGGGUAUAGACCCGAAACCCGGUGAUCUAGCCAUGGGCAGGUUGAAGGUUGGGUAACACUAACUGGAGGACCGAACCGACUAAUGUUGAAAAAUUAGCGGAUGACUUGUGGCUGGGGGUGAAAGGCCAAUCAAACCGGGAGAUAGCUGGUUCUCCCCGAAAGCUAUUUAGGUAGCGCCUCGUGAACUCAUCUUCGGGGGUAGAGCACUGUUUCGGCUAGGGGGUCAUCCCGACUUACCAACCCGAUGCAAACUACGAAUACCGAAGAAUGUUAUCACGGGAGACACACGGCGGGUGCUAACGUCCGUCGUGAAGAGGGAAACAACCCAGACCGCCAGCUAAGGUCCCAAAGUCAUGGUUAAGUGGGAAACGAUGUGGGAAGGCACAGACAGCCAGGAUGUUGGCUUAGAAGCAGCCAUCAUUUAAAGAAAGCGUAAUAGCUCACUGGUCGAGUCGGCCUGCGCGGAAGAUGUAACGGGGCUAAACCAUGCACCGAAGCUGCGGCAGCGACACUAUGUGUUGUUGGGUAGGGGAGCGUUCUGUAAGCCUGCGAAGGUGUGCUGUGAGGCAUGCUGGAGGUAUCAGAAGUGCGAAUGCUGACAUAAGUAACGAUAAAGCGGGUGAAAAGCCCGCUCGCCGGAAGACCAAGGGUUCCUGUCCAACGUUAAUCGGGGCAGGGUGAGUCGACCCCUAAGGCGAGGCCGAAAGGCGUAGUCGAUGGGAAACAGGUUAAUAUUCCUGUACUUGGUGUUACUGCGAAGGGGGGACGGAGAAGGCUAUGUUAGCCGGGCGACGGUUGUCCCGGUUUAAGCAUGUAGGCUGGUUAUCCAGGCAAAUCCGGAUAAUCAAGGCUGAGGUGUGAUGACGAGGCACUACGGUGCUGAAGUAACAAAUGCCCUGCUUCCAGGAAAAGCCUCUAAGCAUCAGGUAACAUCAAAUCGUACCCCAAACCGACACAGGUGGUCAGGUAGAGAAUACCAAGGCGCUUGAGAGAACUCGGGUGAAGGAACUAGGCAAAAUGGUGCCGUAACUUCGGGAGAAGGCACGCUGGUGUGUAGGUGAAGUCCCUGCGGAUGGAGCUGAGACCAGUCGAAGAUACCAGCUGGCUGCAACUGUUUAUUAAAAACACAGCACUGUGCAAACACGAAAGUGGACGUAUACGGUGUGACGCCUGCCCGGUGCCGGAAGGUUAAUUGAUGGGGUUAUCCGUAAGGAGAAGCUCUUGAUCGAAGCCCCGGUAAACGGCGGCCGUAACUAUAACGGUCCUAAGGUAGCGAAAUUCCUUGUCGGGUAAGUUCCGACCUGCACGAAUGGCGUAAUGAUGGCCAGGCUGUCUCCACCCGAGACUCAGUGAAAUUGAACUCGCUGUGAAGAUGCAGUGUACCCGCGGCAAGACGGAAAGACCCCGUGAACCUUUACUAUAGCUUGACACUGAACAUUGAGCCUUGAUGUGUAGGAUAGGUGGGAGGCUUUGAAGCGUGGACGCCAGUCUGCGUGGAGCCAACCUUGAAAUACCACCCUUUAAUGUUUGAUGUUCUAACGUUGGCCCCUUACCGGGGUUGCGGACAGUGUCUGGUGGGUAGUUUGACUGGGGCGGUCUCCUCCCAAAGCGUAACGGAGGAGCACGAAGGUUAGCUAAUCCUGGUCGGACAUCAGGAGGUUAGUGCAAUGGCAUAAGCUAGCUUGACUGCGAGCGUGACGGCGCGAGCAGGUGCGAAAGCAGGUCAUAGUGAUCCGGUGGUUCUGAAUGGAAGGGCCAUCGCUCAACGGAUAAAAGGUACUCCGGGGAUAACAGGCUGAUACCGCCCAAGAGUUCAUAUCGACGGCGGUGUUUGGCACCUCGAUGUCGGCUCAUCACAUCCUGGGGCUGAAGUAGGUCCCAAGGGUAUGGCUGUUCGCCAUUUAAAGUGGUACGCGAGCUGGGUUUAGAACGUCGUGAGACAGUUCGGUCCCUAUCUGCCGUGGGCGCUGGAGAAUUGAGGGGGGCUGCUCCUAGUACGAGAGGACCGGAGUGGACGCAUCACUGGUGUUCGGGUUGUCAUGCCAAUGGCACUGCCCGGUAGCUAAAUGCGGAAGAGAUAAGUGCUGAAAGCAUCUAAGCACGAAACUUGCCCCGAGAUGAGUUCUCCCUGAGACUUUAAGUCUCCUGAAGGAACGUUAAAGACGAUGACGUUGAUAGGCCGGGUGUGUAAGCGCAGCGAUGCGUUGAGCUAACCGGUACUAAUGAACCGUGAGGCUUAACCUUACAACGCCGAAG